AAUUCUUCCUAUUCGGGAAGGAUGAGAAGCUUCGACCAAGGUUCGAUUCGAGCGUUAGCGAGAAAGCGUUGCCGCAGGCAACGACCCGAAGGGCGAAGCGCGCAGCGCUGAGUAAUCCUUCCCCCACCACCA
rnacentral:sRNA from 12 species